CAAAAACCAUAAUGAAAACUAUUAAUUAUGGUCCUUUCGUACUAAUAAUUAAAAUAAAUUUUAAGAUAGAAACCAACCUGGCUCACGCCGGUUUGAACUCAAAUCAUGUAAGAUUAUAAAAGUCGAACAGACUUAUUAUUAAAGAAUCUACGCCUUAAUUAUAUCUUAAUUCAACAUCGAGGUCGCAAACUUUAAUUUAAAUAUGAACUUUCCAUUAAAAUUACGCUGUUAUCCCUAAGGUAAUUUAUCUUACAAUCUUAUAAAGGAUCUUAAUAACAUAAAUUAAUGAAUUAAAUAAAAAAAGUUAAAUUUAUUAAUCACCCCAAUUAAAAAUUUAAAUUAAAUGAAUAAAUUAAACCUAAAAAAACCACAGUCAAUAUAUAUUUUAAAUUCUAUAGGGUCUUAUCGUCCCUAAAACACUAUUUAGCCUUUUAACCAAAAAAUAAAAUUUUAACACUAAAGUCAAUAAAGAUAAUUUUUCAUUUAUCCUUUCAUUCAAGUUUCCAAUUAAAAAACUAAUUAUUAUGCUACCUUUGUACAGUCAAUAUACUGCAGCCAUUUAAAUAAAAUUAAUCAUUGGGCAGAAAUUACUUUAUAUAAAUGUACAUAAAGAAAUGUUUUUGAUAAACAGUUGAAAAUUAAUUAUGCCGAAUUCAUAAAACUUAAAUUAAAAAUUAUACUUAUUAAAUCAAUAUUAAAAAAUAAAAAAAUUAAAUAAAAAAAUUAAAUAAAAAAUUAAAUUUAAUAAAAUUAUAUAAAUAUAAACUAAUCUAUUAAGAACUAUAUAAAAAGAUUCUAUUAAUAAUAAAAAUAAAAAAAAAUAAAUUAUAAUUUUAUAUUAAGAUUAUCCUUAAUAAAUUUAGAGUUCCUAUAUAUAUAUAUAAAAUAAAUAUAAAAAGAAUACUAUAAUUAAAUUAAAUUUUUAAUAACCAGAUAUAAAAAAGAACGUUAACAUUUAAUUACAAUAAUUAAAUUAGAUAAGUUUAUAAAACAACUUAAUCAAAAUAAAAAUAAAUAUCCAAUAUUCGGGAAUAAAAAAUAAAUUAAUAAAUAAAUAUACCCUGAUACAAAAGGUAAUAUAAAUUUGACCUUUAAAUUAAAAAUAAACCUUAACAGUAAAUUAAAUACAAAUUUAUUAUAAUACUCAAAUAGAAAUAAAAUAAAAAAAAGAUAAUUUAUUAACAAA
rnacentral:rRNA from 1 species